GGAAAUUCUAAUGAACGUGUAUGCCGAGCAGUUACCCAUUUUAACAAAAAAAGCAAUACCGCCGCGGCAGCGAGAGCGAGAGAGAGCUUGGCAGGAAAUAGCUGAACAAGUCAAUGCGUGAGUCAAAUAAAUUAGUAAAAUAAAAUAAAAUAAGAGGAAAGUUGAAUAUCUUCCACUUAUUCAAUAUGUAAAUUGUGUGUGUGUGUGUGUGUGUGUGUGUGUGUGUGUGUGUGUGUGUGUGUGUGUGUGUGUGUGUGUGUGUGUGUGUGUGUGUGUGUGUGUGUGUGUGUGUGUGUGUGUGUGUGUGUGUGUGUGUCAAUUUACGCAACCCCGAGUUGCCCCACGAGGACUUGGCAGCAAAUGAAGUACAAAAAUAUAGUUUAAACAGCAAAUCGAAAAAAUGCAGAGACCCGGCAGACUGGAGGGGGUCCACCACCUGCAGCCCUCACAGAGGCUGAGGAGAUGGCCCUCAGCCAACAGAGUAUGCGUCCUGUGGCUGAGGGCAUCCCUAGGGGGGGCUCCUCUGAUCCCCCACACCCCCCAGGAUAGAAGUGCCUUUACAGUAUAAGGGUUACUAAUGGCGCCCUACUUGAACCAGAUGCCCUCACCAACCUCCAUGCAAUUGUAACAAUUCAAAAGAUGCAAAAGGAUGCUUUGGAGAUCCAAAUUUUGGAACAUAAGUUAUAGGAAAUAAAAAAAUCCUCAUAAUAAGUAGAUUGUCUUUAUUAGAACACGGGCUGUGGUGGGACAAGUUAUUUUGUUGAACAGUUUACUUAAAGGGUUUUACUUCAGUGAACAAUGCAGACGAUUAUGUGCAUGUAGAGAAGAACAGCAUCUGGUUAAAAGCAGUACCAGGGUCUUUUCUGCCUUGCAUUCUUAAAAUGAGUUUCUUGACUUGCAGCAGUUAUAGGUCCGUGGUUAGUCAGCUACUCUGAUCAUGGGAAAGCCACAACGUUGAAGUGACUGUAGUACAGAGCGGGUGGGAUGCACGGGGCGGAUCAUUCUGCACAUGCGUUAAUUGCGCUAAAAAAUAAAGAAAUAAACUUAAAGCAUGCCCCCG
ensembl:lncRNA